GAUAUUUUCAUAUUUUUGGCACUUGGCUUAUGCUUAAGUACAUUUCUAAUGUAAUUUUUAAUAAGUUUAAUAAUGAGUGAAACCGCCGUUUUUCGAUAUAACUUCAUAUAAACGAUCGGGAAGCGAGCUAUACAAAUUUUGCAGUAUUUGCAGCGAAUUUGAAUUGCCGCAACUAAAGUUGUUUUACUUUCAAAUUGCCUGCCUCCUUCAUAUACCUUGCGCGAUAGCAACCCCCAUACGUUUUUCAUUAUACGGUCAGGUGAAUAUGGGGGCCAUUCGAGCAAGUCCACAUUUUGAUCCUUAAUCCAUUCUUUUACCACCUUUAUCAAUAGGAGCGUUAUCUUGCUGGUAAGUCCAUUAAAUAACUUGAAAAAUAUUGGAGUAAUAAGGAAACGCUAUCUGUAUUAUAGAUUUGUAGGUUUCUGCCCUCAUUUUGGAAGUAACAAAUUGCAGGUCACAAGUGCUAAAGACUGAUACCGACCCCCCAAACCAUUACGCCUCCUUCACAGCUACGGCGACGGUUCAGGAAAUGCUCUUCCUUUCGACGAUCGUGAUAGUAAUAAUUGUAUCCAAAUGUCCAAAUUACAUUUUUUUUCGUCGGAUUCUGAUUUUUUGAUUUGUUUCUCAAAAAAUUACUCACAACAUUUUGGCUUCGUCAAAUUUUUCGAGAGAUUUUGCAUUGACUAAGACCACUUUCACGAUAGGCUUCAAUUUGGCCUCUUUCAUACUCCGAUAAUUGUUCUCCGCGUCCCAUUUUUCAAAUAAUUUAAAGAAAAUAUUAUUAUUUUCUCCAAGUGACCAACAAAUUUACAUAAAAAAUAAACAAUUAAAAUCGAAUGAUAUUGCAUAUGUGUGCCGUUUAAAGGAUUGUAAAGCACGGGUUUAUUUAAGUGCAGAUAAGGCUCGCGUUUUUUCCAAUCCUGAGAAAAUAAAGCAUUUUCAUGGACCACAAGGCCAUGAAAUGGAAAAAAUCUAUGUGCUGUCGGAAAUAAAAUUGAAGUGUCAAAACAAUUCCGACGACACCAAAAAAAUAUUUAAUGAUGUUCUCGCGAGGUCAUCACUUUGAUGCAAGGCAAUAUUGAGGAGCAGAAUAGGCAUUUUUUUAAUAGAUGCCACAUUUAAAGUUUGCCCUUUCGGGGACUUUAAGCAACUGCUUAAUAUUUACAUAUGUUAAACUCAUGCAAAAGAUAACACCUUUCCUAUUUGUUUUGAUGACACGUAAAACGGAGCUCUGUUACCAACACCUGUUUACGUAUGUAUGUUGACUCAAACAUUUGCUGUCUUAAUGGUACAUCAUUUAUGUAUAUCCGAUUUUGAGAAGGCGAUGCGCAACGCUUUGAAAAAUUUGCAUCCAAAUAUGAAUUUUUUAUGCUUGCUGUUUCUAUUUUACACAAGCAUGUAAAAGAAAUGCAAUCAAAACUAUUGGUUUGGAUAAAAUGCUUUCGUGCAGUAAACAUGCGUAUAUGCUGUUUAUGAAAUUUACCUCUUUUACCGGAAUGCAAGCAUUUGUUGUUGAAGCAUUUAGUCUUCUUGAAGCUCAAGCCACAGCCUUAGAUAAGAAGAUGUUUUCGCCCUUUUUAAAAUAUUUUAAGAAGCAGUGGCUUAAGAAGGAUCGCGCUCAAAAAAUUAUGGAUGCAAUGGAUUUGUUUGACAAGGGAGAAAUUGACAUACAGGGUUUUUUGACACGAACUGUUUCGCUAAAUGACCGUUUUAAAAAACAGUACCUGUUCGACAGUGUGCAUAUGGACUCCAAUUUGUCGGGAAUGUCAUCUGAAAUGAAGGCAUCAACAUCAUCGCUUUCGUCGAGUGACUCAAAAUCUAGUCAAAUAUCCGAUUCAUCUAUAUUUCAAAUGAAUCCCUGCAAUGUAUGUCUCAUCGAACCAAAAUCGGUUUUAUUGCGCCCAUGUAAUCAUUUGAAUAUUUGUGCAGCAUGUUGGGAUCAAAUUCUGGCUCAUAAUCAAGAACAGAACGAUGAUCCUAACGAUCCUGACAGUGGUGAACCAAAAUGUCCAACGUGUCAACAAGUUGUCAAAGAAGCUAUCCGUAAUGUUUAUAUAUAUAAUUAAAAAAUUAAAAUAAUAAACUAAGUUUC